UCGUGGUUUGGAUGAGCUUGCGGCCCAUUAGCUUGUUGGCAGGGUAACGGCCUACCAAGGCUACGAUGGGUAGCUGGUCUGAGAGGAUGAUCAGCCACACUGGCACUGAGACACGGGCCAGACUCCUACGGGAGGCAGCAGUGGGGAAUUUUGCGCAAUGGGCGAAAGCCUGACGCAGUAACGCCGCGUGGAGGAUGAAGGCCUUCGGGUUGUAAACUCCUGUCAGGGGGAACGACGGAGCAAGGGUGAUAAAUCUUUGCUUCCAGACGGUACCUCCAAAGGAAGCCCCGGCUAAUUCCGUGCCAGCAGCCGCGGUAA
rnacentral:rRNA from 1 species